rnacentral:lncRNA from 1 species
CUGUCUCUGUGUGUCUGUGUGUUUGUGUGUCUGUGUGUGUUUAUGUCUGUGUCUUUAUGUGUGUCUGUGUGUGUUUGUGUGUGUCUCUGUGUGUCUGUCUGUGUGUCUGUGUCUGUGUGUGUGUCUGUGUGUGUUUGCAUGUGUGUGUUUAUGUGUCUGUGUCUGUCUUUAUGUGUGUCUGUGUGUGUUUGUGUGUAUGUCUCUGUGUGUAUCUGUGUGUGUGUUUGUGUGUGUCUCUGUGUGUCUGUGGAUGUGCCUGUGU